GAUGAACGCUAGCGACAGGCUUUAACACAUGCAAGUCGAGGGGCAGCGGGGGUAGGCAAUACCGCCGGCGACCGGCGCACGGGUGAGUAAACGCGUAUGCAACUUACCUAUCAGAGGGGGAGUAACCCGGCGAAAGUCGGACUAAUACCGCAUGAAGCAGGGGCCCCGCAUGGGGAUAUUUGCUAAAGAUUCAUCGCUGAUAGAUAGGCAUGCGUUCCAUUAGGCAGUUGGCGGGGUAACGGCCCACCAAACCGACGAUGGAUAGGGGUUCUGAGAGGAAGGUCCCCCACAUUGGUACUGAGACACGGACCAAACUCCUACGGGAGGCAGCAGUGAGGAAUAUUGGUCAAUGGGGCGUAAGCCUGAACCAGCCAAAGUCGCGUGAGGGAUGAAGGUUCUAUGGAAUC
rnacentral:rRNA from 1 species